rnacentral:rRNA from 1 species
CCUACGGGAGGCAGCAGUAGGGAAUCUUCCGCGAUGGACGAAAGUCUGACGGAGCGACGCCGCGUGAGCGAAGAAGGCCUUCGGGUCGUAAAGCUCUGUUGUGAGGGACGAAGGAGCGUCGUUUGAACAAGGCGGCGCGGUGACGGUACCUCACGAGAAAGCCCCGGCUAACUACGUGCCAGCAGCCGCGGUAAU